AUGUAAGUUUUUGCGUGUAUUUUUAUUUAUUUUAAUAAUAAUUAAAUUUUAAUAUAUCCUCAGUAAUUAAUUUUAUAAAUUAAGGAAACUUAGAAGUAGUAAUUUCAUGAAGUAUUGGCUAAAUUUGUGCCAGCAGCCGCGGUUAUACGAAUAAUACAAAUAAAAUUGGUUCGGUGAAAGUUAAAUUUCGUUGAAUGUAAUAAAUAUAAAUUUAUUAGGUGAAAUUUUAAAUUUGUAAAUUUUAUAAUUUUUGUUGUUAAAGCUUGUAAAUUUUAGUAAUAAACUAGGAUUAGAUACCCUAUUAUUUAAAAUGUAAUUAAUUCAUCAAGGUAGUAAUAGUUAUGUUCUUGAAACUUAAAAAAUUUGGCGGUAUUUUAGUCUAUUCAGAGGAACCUGUCCUAUAAUUGAUAAUCCACGAUGAACCUCACUUAGUCUUGUAAUUCAGUUUAUAUACCGUCGUUAUCAGAAUAUUUUAUUAGAAUAAUAAUUUUCAAUAAUUUAUAUUAGAAUUUAUAUCAGAUCAAGGUGUAGCUAAUGAUUAAGAAGAGAUGGGUUACAAUAAAUAUAUUUAAACGGAUCUAAUUUUGAAAUAUCUUUAGAGAAGGUGGAUUUGAUAGUAAAAUUUUAAAGAUAGAAAGUUUGAUUUUAGCUCUAAAAUAUGUACACAUCGCCCGUCGCUCUUAUUAUUAAGGUAAGAUAAGUCGUAACAUAGUAGAUGUA
rnacentral:rRNA from 1 species